UACGUAGGUGGCAAGCGUUGUCCGGAUUUAUUGGGUUUAAAGGGUGCGUAGGCGGCUUAAUAAGUCAGUGGUGAAAGCCGAUCGCUUAACGAUCGAACUGCCAUUGAUACUGCUAGGCUUGAGUAUAGUUGAGGUAGGCGGAAUUGACAGUGUAGCGGUGAAAUGCAUAGAUAUUGUCAAGAACACCAAAUUGCGAAGGCAGCUUACUAAAGUAUAACUGACGCUGAGGCACGAAAGUGCGGGGGAUCAAAACAGGG
rnacentral:rRNA from 1 species